rnacentral:lncRNA from 1 species
CGGAACCCAAGAGCUAGCGGUGUGCAUUACCACACACUCUCAUUCAUCACACUGGCGCUGCAUUACCACACACACACACACACACACACACACACACACACACACACACACACACACACACACACACACUCAUUCAUCACACAGCGCUGUCACUUUCUACUCUCACUCAUCUCAGGCUGUCACAGCAUAAUAAAGACCCCAUAACACCACUCCCAAGGGGCCACACGUCACACACAGCUGCAUCAGGCAACAGACACACACACACACACACACACACAGCUGCAUCAGGCAACAGACACACACACACACUGCUGCAUCAGACAACAGACACACACACACACACACACACACACAUGCACACACACACACACACACACACAGCUGCAUCAGGCAACAGACACACACACACACACAGCUGCAUCAGGCAACAGACACACACACACACACACACAGCUGCAUCAGGCAACAGACACACACACACACACACACACACACACAGCUGCAUCAGGCAACAGACACACACACACACACACACACAGCUGCAUCAGGCAACAGACACACACAAACACACACACACACAGCUGUAUCACGCAACAGACACACACACACACACACACAGAUGUAUCAGGCAACGGACACACACACACACACACACACACACACAUACACACACACACACCGCUGCAUCAGGCAACACACACACACACACAGCUGCAUCAGGCAUCAGGCAACAGACACACACACACACACACACACACAGACACACACACACACACACACACACACACACAGAGACACACACACACAUCUGUAUCAGGCAACACACAAACACACAGACACACACACACAUCUGUAUCAGCCAACACACACACACACACAGAGCUGCAUCAGGCAACAGACACACACACACACACACACACACACACACACACACACACACAGCUGCAUCAGGCAACAGACACACACACACACACAGCUGCAUCACGCAACAGACACACACAAACACACAAACACACAGCUGCAUCAGGCAACAGACACACACACACACACACACACACACACACACAGCUGCAUCAGGCAACACACACACACACACACACAUGCACACAUGUUCAUUC